GACGAACGCUGGCGGCGUGCUUAACACAUGCAAGUCGAACGGAAAGGCCCUGCUUUUGUGGGGUGCUCGAGUGGCGACCGGGUGAGUAACACGUGAGUAACCUGCCCUUGACUUUGGGAUAACUUCAGGAAACUGGGGCUAAUACCGGAUAGGAGCUCUUGCUGCAUGGUGGGGGUUGGAAAGUUUCGGCGGUUGGGGAUGGACUCGCGGCUUAUCAGCUUGUUGGGGGGGUAGUGGCUUACCAAGGCUUUGACGGGUAGCCGGCCUGAGAGGGUGACCGGCCACAUUGGGACUGAGAUACGGCCCAGACUCCUACGGGAGGCAACAGUGGAGAAUAUUGCACAAUGGGCGGAAGCCUGAUGCAGCAACGCCGCGUGCGGGAUGACGGCCUUCGGGUUGUAAACCGCUUUCGCCUGUGACGAAGCGUGAGUGACGGUAAUGGGUAAAGAAGCACCGGCUAACUACGUG
rnacentral:rRNA from 1 species